rnacentral:lncRNA from 1 species
UUAAACCCUCGCUUUCAAUCAGAAAAAUACUCGUAAUAAUCUCGGCUGCGUGAUAAUUAGGAGAGAAUUAUUAGUUUUUUAAUGUAUUGGUGACGUAACCACGAAGGAUCGCGUUUUUGGAUUGAGAUAGAUCUUUGAAUCGGUAAAUUGACUGUAGUCGGUUGGAUACCAAAUCAUUUAUUCAAUGAUAGCAUUAAAAUAAACCAUAGUACGCGCAUCACCAACUGCCCAGCCGACCACCCCAACCAUCAUCCGCCGGGGCAUUAAAAUUCGACGCGUGUCUUAUUCUGGUUCGACAAUUCCUAUUUGUUGCCCAACAUCCGAUCCACGUCAGAUCUGGUCCAGCCAAAAGUAGACUAUUAGAUAGAUAGGCAUCUCCACGCCACACGAAAAGCGUAGUCGCCGAGGAACGGAGAGGACGGAAAUUAAUAAAAGCGGUCCUUCUAUUUUGCCGGAGUUACACGUCCAUGCUCUUUGCCUUGGAAAGUUUAAAAGUCAUCGAACACAUUAUAUUUUAUUCCGAAUCGAUCCUUCUGUCUAUGGUAAAUUACUCAUGAGUGCAAACAUGAAGCUCCAA